rnacentral:lncRNA from 1 species
GCUAAUGAACUUUGAUAACCAAACAAUUUCUUUAUCAGCAUCAAAUGCCACAAAGUAUUUCAUAUCGUAAAUAAAAUUGGCUACUAAAUAUUGCAUGAAACCUUUCAGCAUGUCUUUCAUCUUUUUAGGAUAAAAACACAAUCUGACAUAAUUUUAUCAUUUUGAUUCGACUAGAAACUGAAAUCAACAUUCCACAAAUUUUUAGUCAGACUUUUCAUAAAUGAACCAUUAG